CCGUAGCUCAGCUGGAUAGAGCAACGGCCUUCUAAGCCGUAGGUCGCAGGUUCGAAUCCUGCCG
rnacentral:tRNA from 1 species